AGAGUUUGAUCCUGGCUCAGGAUAAACGCUGGCGGCGUGCCUAAUACAUGCAAGUCGAUCGGAAGCGGAGCAAUCCGCUUUAGAGGCGAACGGGUGAGUAAGACAUAAGCAACCUGGCCACAAAGACGGGGAUAACACUUGGAAACGAGCGCUAAUACCGGAUAAGUAUCAGCGGGGCAUCCCGCUGAUAUAAAAGGGAGAGAAACGCGAGUGGAUGGGCUUAUGGUGCAUUAGUUAGUUGGCGGGAUAAGGGCCCACCAAGACGAUGAUGCAUAGCCGGACUGAGAGGUUGAACGGCCACAUUGGGACUGAGACACGGCCCAGACUCCUACGGGAGGCAGCAGUAGGGAAUUUUCGGCAAUGGGGGAAACCCUGACCGAGCAACGCCGCGUGAGUGAUGACGGCCUUCGGGUUGUAAAGCUCUGUUGUAAGGGAAGAACGGUAGAUAGAGAAUAUCUAAGUGACGGUACCUUACCAGAAAGCCACGGCUAACUACGUGCCAGCAGCCGCGGUAAUACGUAGGUGGCGAGCGUUAUCCGGAAUUAUUGGGCGUAAAGGGUGCGUAGGCGGCCUGUUAAGUAAGUGGUUAAAUUGUUGGGCUCAACCCAAUCCAGCCACUUAAACUGGCAGGCUAGAGUAUUGGAGAGGCAAGUGGAAUUCCAUGUGUAGCGGUAAAAUGCGUAGAUAUAUGGAGGAACACCAGUGGCGAAGGCGGCUUGCUAGCCAAAGACUGACGCUCAUGCACGAAAGCGUGGGGAGCAAAUAGGAUUAGAUACCCUAGUAGUCCACGCCGUAAACGAUGAAUACUAAGUAUUGGGGAAACUCAGUGCUGCAGCUAACGCAAUAAGUAUUCCGCCUGUGGAGUAUGCACGCAAGUGUGAAACAUAAAGGAAUUGACGGGGGCCCGCACAAGCGGUGGAGUAUGUGGUUUAAUUCGACGCAACGCGAAGAACCUUACCAGGCCUUGACAUCCCUUGCAAAGCUGUAGAGAUACAGUAGAGGUUAUCAAGGAGACAGGUGGUGCAUGGUUGUCGUCAGCUCGUGUCGUGAGAUGUUGGGUUAAGUCCC
rnacentral:rRNA from 1 species